ensembl:lincRNA
GAAUGAAGAGUUCUAUUUUUAAGUUUGGAAAUAUUUUGGAAUUCUCCAUGCAGGACUGUGAUAAGUCUUUAUAAGUUAGAGAAUACAUCAAUAAUUGAUUUAACAAUUGGAAAUGAAACUGCACGUGAAGAUUGGUUUGAAAACAAAAGAAGCAAUCAUUUACUCAGCGCACAUGCUUGGUACAUAUGAAUCAUGCUUGUGGUACAGGAAGUUACAUUGAUUGGUUCCACAGAGUGAAGUCUGGGUGUCCAUCUUCCAUCCAACUGGCUGUCUCGGACCCUGACGGGGACGACGUUCGGUGUCGGAUGGCUGUCGGACAAGAGUGCGGUCAAGCUUGUGGAAUUGUACCUCAUGGUAGUUUGAAUGAGACAGAAUGUAUCUUGCAGUUCAACCCUCCUCGAAAGACGAGUGGCCUUUGGGUGCUCGCCCUCACUCUCGAGGACUUUGCUACGGUGAAUGGUCAAACGACUGGACCUUUCUCCUCCAUUCCGCUACAGGUUAUCCUUGAAUUCGAAAAGAAUGCCAAAUGUGCAUCUCCCAAAUUCGUCGGACGUACACCAAAGAACAACGCCAAAUUCAGCAUCAUGAGCGGACAAUCCUUCAGCUUCAACAUCGACGUACAGUCCAGCUUACCGAGAGAACGUAUUGUUUCAAUCAGCCAAGUUGCGAAAGUGCCCACGACACAGCAAACGGUCACGAGAAACACUUCCUCUUCCCGCAUAUUCCACACCGGCCUGAUCGUGACACCUCCAGCAGAGACCUUCGGGAAACAGCAGAUCUGCUUCUAUGCUCUAGAAUCCUCUGGGUUUGUGACUCACAAUCCUCUCUGUCAUUGUCUAUUAGCCUUUAUAUUUCUUCACUUCUUUGUUUUAGGCCUUUCUUAGUUCUGUUUUUAUUUUUCACUUUUCAUGUUUUUUGUUUCUUUCACCCUUUGCUGCUCAUUUUUUUUUUUUAGCUCACCUGGAACAUAGUUCCAGGAAGCUUAUGGGAUGGUUCGUCGUCCAUCCAUCAGUCCGUCUGUCUGUCCACAAAUACUUGCAACUUCUUCUCUGAAACUACACACGGUUUUGAUGAAACUUUGCGACAACGUUCAGCACCGUGUAUGUGCCAAAGUUUGUUCAAGGCAUAAAAUAAAUCAGGCCCUAAAGGGAUCUCCGGGGGUUGCUCCCCAAAAUAUGUAUUUGCUUUCUUCUCAGAAACUACACAUGAAAUUCCAAUGAAACUUGACUCUAAUCUUCAUCACCUGUGAUGUACCAAAGUUUGUUCAUGGCAUUAAAAAACAAAAUCGGGGUCUGAGGGGGUCUAUAGAGGGAGUUUAUGGGGGCGGGGGUUGCCCCCCACAAACUCCCCCCAUAAACUCUCCCAAAGAGGUGUUUGCUUUCUUCUCCGAAGCCACACACACAAUUUCGAUGAAACUUGACCACAACCUUUAUCACCUGUGUUGUACCAAAGUUUAUUUAAGGCAUUAAAAAUAACAAUCCAUAGGUAUUAACUUUCUUCUCCAUUAUAUAUUUUGUGGGUCAUCCAUGCCGACCAGUAGUUCACUGGUUAUCUUAUCCAGCCGCUACCAGGUGAACACCCAGGGGUAUUGCCCCUAUGUUUAAGCCAUUAGCGUUUGUUGUUCCUCUUUGUCUCCACCUAUUUGACGUUAUGAAAACAUCUCUGGAUAAAUGAUGCUUUUGGUGUCACAUGUUCGUGAACCUAUAACAUCUUCAUUGUGUGUGUAUGCAGACAAGAAACUGAGAUGCGUUGCAUCUUUCUCACAAUCGAAGGUGAGUGGCACAGACCAACUGCUACACCCCCCCCCCCC